ACGGAAGGCAGCAGUGGGGAAUAUUGCACAAUGGGGGAAACCCUGAUGCAGCGACGCCGCGUGAGUGAAGAAGUAUUUCGGUAUGUAAAGCUCUAUCAGCAGGAAAGAAAAUGACGGUACCUGACUAAGAAGCCCCGGCUAACUACGUGCCAGCAGCCGCGGUAAUACGUAGGGGGCAAGCGUUAUCCGGAUUUACUGGGUGUAAAGGAAGCGUAGACGGCUUUGCAAGUCUGAAGUGAAAGCCCGGGGCUCAACCCCGGAACUGCUUUGGAAACUGUUAAGCUAGAGUGCAGGAGAGGUAAGUGGAAUUCCUAGUGUAGCGGUGAAAUGCGUAGAUAUUAGGAGGAACACCAGUGGCGAAGGCGGCUUACUGGACUGUAACUGACGUUGAGGCUCGAAGGCGUGGGGAGCAAACAGGAUUAGAUACCCUGGUA
rnacentral:rRNA from 1 species